rnacentral:rRNA from 1 species
UGGGGAAUACUGCACAAUGGAGGGAACUCUGAUGCAGCGACGCCGCGUGAGUGAUGAAGGAAUUCGUUUCGUAAAACUCUGUUCUAUGGGAAGAAAAGGACUGUACCAUAGGAGAAAGCUCCGGCUAAAUACGUGCCAGCAGCCGCGGUAAUACGUAUGGAGCGAGCGUUGUCCGGAAUUAUUGGGCGUAAAGGGUGCGCAGGCGGCUUUACAAGUUGGAUGUGAAAUAUUGUGGCUCAACCACAAACGUGCAUCCAAAACUGCAAAGCUUGAGUUAAGGAGAGGUAAGUGGAAUUCCUGGUGUAGCGGUGGAAUGCGUAGAUAUCAGGAGGAAUACCGGUGGCGAAGGCGACUUACUGGACUUAAACUGACGCUCAGGCACGAAAGCGUGGGGAGCAAACAGG